AAGGAAGAGAGGAAGCCAAGUGAUUCUAUGCAAGUUCAAACUCCAAAACAAGGAUCAUGAGACAUCAAUGAAGAGGAAUAGCAAAGGCUGAACAGGUUACCUCAAUAUUGGAAGCAAAUGGAGCAAGAGGAAAACUUAAAACAUACAAGGUUAUGCUCAUGGGAAAGCAAUGCUCACAGGAGAACAAAGAAAGAAAGGAAGAAAUGUGAAAUAGUGUAUUACAACCUUCCGGUUCUUAAU